rnacentral:rRNA from 1 species
AUUGAACGCUGGCGGCAUGCUUUACACAUGCAAGUCGGACGAGUGGCGAACGGGUGAGUAACGCAUCGGAACGUACCUAUUAUAGGGGGAUAACUUCUCGAAAGGAUAGCUAAUACCGCAUACUAUCCGAUCAGCCGCUGUCGGAUUGGCUGGUUGGCGGGGUAAAGGCACACCAAGGCGACGAUCAGUAGCGGGUCUGAGAGGAUUAUCAGCCACACUGGGACUGAGACACGGCCCAGACUCCUACGGGAGGCAGCAGUGGGGAAUGUUGGACAAUGGGCGCAAGCCUGAUCCAGCCAUGCCGCGUGUCUGAAGAAGGCCUUCGGGUUGUAAAGGACUUUUGUCAGGGAAGCGGUACCUGAAGAAUAAGCACCGGCUAACUACGUGCCAGCAGCCGCGGUAAUUC